rnacentral:lncRNA from 1 species
CAAAAUUAAGAAAACUAAACUCUAAGAGAUUUAGAAUUGUAACAAGACACAAAGAUUAUCCAAAAAUUAUGACAAUCAAGAAAUUAAAGACUAUCAAGAAAUUAGGCACUCAAAGAAAGCACCUAAGGAUUAGCACUAGAAUUGGAUUACAAAAAGAAAAAAAUAAAGAAUAUCAAAUUUUUUUCAAUGGUGCAGAAGAUCGAAAAAGAUGGUCACCCAAUGUCACUUGGCCAAAACAAACUCUAUUAUGCUUUUAGCGCCUCCAAAAAUACUGCACCAAAAUUCUUCAAUUAGAAUUGUGGAGCCCAAGUAAUAAUGCAACACGUUUUGGCCCAAAAUGCUUCAAUAGCAAUGGCACAUUCAAUUCAGCAAAAUAUAAAGUCAAACGUGGUCCCCACCGAAAUCUCUAAUACCAAUCUCGCGGGCCCCCACAGAAAGUCUUCAAUUACUGAAUUCUUUCACCAAAAUCACGCUUCAAUCCUGCACUUUUUGCUUUUGUGUGCCAAGAUUCAAUUCUUCAAAAGCACUAUUCAGCAAACCAUGGACCCCAUGUGAAUGCCAAUUUCCUGCCAAAUUCAACAACUUCAUAUAGUAAAGCAAUUGUUGGUAACUUUCGUGAUUUGGUAAAAAGAAAUUCAAUUCAACAAUAGCUUUAGAAAUUAACGGUAAUUUGCAAUCAUUUGCAAAGCACCGUGGCAGCUCCAACAAAUUAAAUCAAAGAAAUGUAAAUGACAUGGGUCCCGCUAGUAGAAUUUCUAGGAAUUAAAUUUAGUAGAUUUCAAUGACUUCUCUGCACUCCAAUUCUCACAAUCUGACACAGCCCAGGCAAAUUCCAUGGAACAAAUUACAACAAGUUCCCUACGCUAUCCAAUUUCACUAUUACCAAAUGCUAACUAAAAUUUCCUUCCAGCAACUCCUGUUCAACGUUUGGCCCAAAUAGCUUCACUGCAGCAAAAUUUAAUUGCUGUAAAAUAACAAAUACAUUAUUCUGCUUUCAAUUUGUACUGAAAUCGAAUGUCACAACACUGGAUUCGCAAACUUGCACCAACUUUACCACUGCACUGUUCCAAUUUGCUCAAAUUUUCUGCAUGUUAUCUCUCAAUAAAUUUGCACCAGCAAAUUUUACUGCAACUUAGCUCAAAGAAUUUAGUCAGAAACCUACAACAGCAACACUGUUUUCAGAAGCAAUUACACAAACAUGUUAUCUGCUUCAAUUCAAGUUCAAAUGAUUCACAAGACAAUUCAAUCCUUCUACUGAAUACCUCAAAUUAUAGAUUCAAAACAAUAAAGAAUCAGCUACCAGAUAAGUAAGAAAUGUACCAGAAAAUUCAUUCACCGAAUUAAAACAAAACACAUUCCGUUCACUGAUUUAGGUUGCCGGAAAUCGCAGAUCUCCGUUCACCGAUUUAGGUCGCCGGAAAACGCAGAACCGGAAUCGGAAACGAGAGUGGAAGAGAAAUACAGAAUCGAAAAUCAAAUUUCAGUCUCCUUACUGUGUAACGAUUCGAUUCUUGUGUAAUUUAGUUUUCACAAAUUGCACCAGAAAAUAACACAAGAUAAACACGGAAAUAAGAAACUCGUUUUUCCGUCUUCCGUUUUUCAGUUUCGCACCAAAUUCACCUCACGUUUUCAAAAUCACUUCAAGAAGAUGACGAAUUGAAAACGCAUAUGAACGUGAACAAAGGCACAACAGAUUUUCGAGAAAUUUUGAAAACAGAAACAGAUUCAGAACUGCUAUUCGCACCACAGAUCCAAUGAGAUUUCAUAAACAGAUCCUCAUUACUGUUCACACCUGGAAAAUUCUUUUUAAACCACGAACAAUUUUCACAAAUUUUUCAAUAAUGAAUUUUGGAGAAGAUGAUAAUGGAAACCUAACUUUAAAGAAAAUUUAUGAACUCAAAAAUGAAAAUCAAAGCACUCAAAAGCUUUAAUCUAUAAAGAAAUUUGAAAAAAAAAAUCAAAAAAAAAUUAAAUGAGUUUAUGAUAACUUUUGACUAAAUAUGACUCUAGACAAAACAAAUAAGAACAAAUUUGAACCGAAAAAAAAAAAACAAAAACACAAAAAUCAAUCGGACAAUCAUAUUAAAAUAAAGAAUGAUCAAAUUUCUCAAUGAGACAAUAGAGCCUGAAUGUAAUUGGUCCAAUAUGGCUUGAAUGCAACAAGAUGUGGUACAAAUUGAACCCACUGAAUUGCAACUUCACGUGCAGAAAUUUAUUAAUGUUUCCAAAUCAAUUCUCGUCGACCCCACACCAAAAAUUUUCAAAUUGCAACCCACCAGAAUAUGCUUUAAAAUUUGAAACAAAUCACGCACGUUACCAAUUCAUGCUGUUACGUGCCACAACUUCAUCCAAUUAUACCAAUUAUUCGAUCCUCGGAAGCGUCCCACAAUCAAAUGCAUAUUCAAGCCAAGUCACGUUUUCAUCAAAUUGGUCCUGCAACGUGACAACUCCAAAUUGAAAUUGGAAACUUCACCAACACAAGUCUGCACAGUUAAACCAAUUUACCUCCGAUUAUUGCAAGUCUCAGCGUUUUUUUAAAACAAAAUAGUGGACUCUUGCAUAGUUAUUCUCACGCAAAUUUCAGAUUUCCAAAUCAAUGGGCAGUUCAAUUGGAUCACUGAACCAGUGCAUCAACCAAUUAUGUGAAGAUUUUUUUUUUAAGAAAAUUGUUCAACACCGUUUGGGAAAAUCUGCACCAAGACAACACUUGGACUAAUAGUUUGAGUGCACCAACGCUUCUAGGACAAGCAGCACACCAAUUCAAAAGAAAUCUUUAGGCUGCUAACGAACUCAACUUCCACCAAUUCCAGCGCACCAGAGAUUACCAAAAGUGCCAACCAGCAAUUUCCGAACCAGAAAAAAAAAACAGCACCACUUGAAUCAAAUAAUUGUCAUAGCAGUUCAGAUAUUUUUUCACUGAAUCAAUUUAUCAAACACGUUAUGUGCUUCAAACCAAAUUCAAUGACAACAAGAUACUUCAAGCUAUUGUUUGCACCGUUUGGACAAUUAUGUCACCAUUUUGCACCGAAAAGAAAAAUCCACUAGAUUUCACUUUUUUUUUAAUUCUCUGCUGCAACACAAAAAACUCAGUCACCGCAAUUCAACAACAAAAAAGAAAUCCACCAAUUCAGUUAUACACACUAAUGUCAAGGCAGAAUACAUGAAGCAUUGACAUAGCGAUUCAGAAUUUGUCAAAACUUGCGAAGCACGGUAAAACACCAAACGCAGAACGAGAAUCAAUUCAUACGAAUUCAUCUUUGGUUCAUGUUCGUUCAAUCUCCAUUUCUCCAGAAACAAUUUUCAACAUCAAUAUUCGAUCAGUAUUUUCAAGCAAAUUAUAUUCACCGUUCAGUGUUUUCUAUUCGCCAGAAUUCGAAACAAUCCUCCGUUCAUCGGUUUUAGGUCACCGAAAACUCACAAAACAGGAAAUGCACCGUUCAACAAUUCUCCAAUCAAACUCGCACACUUUUUUAAGAUGAAGAAAAACGCAAACCGUUCACCAAUUUUGUUCACCAGAAAACACUGCUUUUCUUCACCGAUUUAGGUUGCCGAAAAACGCAGAACCAGUAUCAGAAACGAGAAUGGAAGAGAAAUGCAAAAUCGCAAAUUGAAUUUCAGUCUCCUUACCGUGCAACGAUUUGAUUCUUGUGUGAUUUAGUUUUCACAAAUCGCACCAGCAAAGAACACAAGAUGAUCACGGAAAUAAGAAACGCACAAGAAUUUCACAACCGAUUUGCACCCUCACCGUUCUUCGAUCAAACUCGUUUUUCGUCUUCCGUUUUUCGGUUUCGCACCAAACUCAACUCACACGUUUUCAAAAUCACUCCAAGAAGAUGAUCGGAUUGAAAACGCAUAUGAACGUGAACAAAGGCGCAACAGACUUCGUGAAAUUUUGAAAACAGAAACAGAUUCAUAACUGCUAUUCGCACCACAGAUCUAAUCAGAUUUCACAAACAGAUUCAAAAUACUGUUCACACCUGCAAAAUUUCUUUUUGAACCACAAACAAUUUUCGGAAAAUUUUCGAGAAUUUUCGAAAAUAAGUUUUGAAAAAGAAGAUAAUGGAAACCUAACUUUAAAGAAAACUGCUAAGGAUCUACUAGUAAUUUAUGAACUCAAAAAUGAAAAUCAAAAGCAGUCAAGAGAUUUACUCUAUAAAGAGAGGAAAAAGAAAGGAAAGAUAGAGAGGAGAAAGACACAAGAGA